ensembl:lncRNA
AUGUCCCCAAACCCCAAAAUCCCCCCAAAAACCCCCCCAAAAAACCCCAAAAUCCCCAAAUCUCACCUGCACCUCCCGGCCAGGCGCUGUCCCCUCGGUGCCACCCCCGGUGUCACUUUUGUCCCCUCCUUUGUCACUUUUGUCACCCCCUGUGUCCCCCGCACAUCCCCAUGUCCCCAAACCCCAAAAUCUUCCCCCAAAAAUUCCCCAAAAAAUUCCCCAAAAUUCCCCCAAAUCUCACCUGCACCUCCCGUUCCGGCUCCCAUCUCCUCGCUGUCCCCUCGGUGUCACUUUUGUCACUUUUGUCACCCUCGCUGUCCCCCGCGAGCCCCAGCGCCAUCCCGUGUCCCCAAACCCCCAAAUCUCUCCCAAAACCCCCAAAAAUUCCCAAAAAAAUUCCCAAAAAUUCCCCAAAUCUCACCUGCACCUCCCGGCUCGGCUCCAUCUCCUCGCUGUCCCCUCGGUGCCACCUCCUUUGUCACUUUUGUCACCCCCUGUGUCCCCCGCACAUCCCCAUGUCCCCAAACCCCAAAAUCUUCCCCAAAAAUUCCCAAAAAAAUUCCCCAAAACUCCCCGAUUCUCACCUGCACCUCCCGUUCCGGCUCCGUCUCCUCGCUGCCCCCUCGGUGUCACUUUUGUCCCCCUUUGUCCCCUUUGUCACCCUCGCUGUCCCCCGCGAGCCCCAGCGCCAUCCCGUGUCCCCAAACCCCCAAAAAUUCCAAAACCCCCAAAAAUUCCCCAAAAAUUCCCCAAAAUUCCCCCAAAACUCCCCGAUUCUCACCUGCACCUCCCGUUCCGGCGCCGUCUCCUCGCUGUCCCCGCGGUGCCACCUCCGGUGUCGCUUUUGUCGCUUUUGUCGCCCCCGGUGUCCCCCGCGAGCCUCCGCGCGAUCCGCGCCUCCACCGCCAGCGCCACCGCGGUGCGGACGCGUCCGGGAGCGCAGGGACGGCGACACUGGGGACAGCGGGGCCAGGCCUGGGGACAGCCCGGGGACACCGCCGGGGACAGCGGGGACACCCCCGGGGACACCGCCGGGGACAGCGGGGGCAGGAGGCAGCGGCGGCAGCAGCGGUGCUCGCACGGCAGCAGCACCGGGUCCUGCAGGGGACGGCGACAAAGGGGACACGAGGUGGCCGCGGCCAGCAGGGCCAGGGGACCGCGCUGGGGGGGCACGGACGGGGACAUCGAGGGGACAGAGAUGGGGACAGAGGUGGGGACAGAGAUGGGGACAACAGGGACAGAGAUGGGACAGAGUUGGGGACAACGGAUGGGGGGGACAGGGGGGGGACAGCAGGAGAGAGAUGGGGACAGGGAGGGGACAGGGGCGGGACAAACACGGGGACACGAGGGUGACACGGGGGGGG